GCGGACAUGAUGAAACUGGUAGACAUACCGGACUUAAAAUCCAAAAGCCUUGAGUCGUGCGGGUUCGAGUCCCGCUGUCCGCACCA
rnacentral:tRNA from 1 species